rnacentral:lncRNA from 10 species
GACUAUUGAUUAAGCAGUUUGUAACCAUGGCAAUGAUCUUGUCUUCCUGGAAAGGAAUUGUCAACACACCUUGCCAGUUUCUUACCCUAAACCUUUCAUCACUCUAAAGAAAAUCCACCCAGAUUCUUAAACCGCAUUCUCAAGGGAAAGCUUGAGAACAUGGGAAAGCUUCAAGAUACAGGGAAGGAGAGGACUGAGGUGACGGGUGUAUGCCUGUUUUUUUCUACUGAAUUUAGAACAUUGUUUUUACUUGCUAUUCACUACAAAGGGAGCUAUCUCUUUGACUCCUACUGAUGAGGAAUGCAAGUUUAUUCUUGUGACAAAUAUUUGCUAUACAACUACUUAUUUGCACCUGUGCAGAGUUACAACGGCUGAACUGCCUUGUUCUAGGAGGCCACUGUCUAAUUGUCUCCAGAGGAGAAACCCAAGAGAGAAAGGCUUAGAGGAACUCCACUAAAAGGGAAUCCCAGCAAACGUGGAGGCAGUUCAAAUGCAAGUUAAGUUUUGAAAAGUCUACAUGCCUUUAUAACCACACCUGCAACCAGGAUAUAGAACACAUCCAUCUUUCCAAGAAGCUCCCUGUGCCCUCUCUCACGAGUGCUCCUCUCGCUUCCAGCUGCCAGUUUAAGCAGCGUCUAAUACACAAAUGGUCACUGAGGGGGAAGAGCUCUGAGAAUCACCACUGCAACUGCAUUGAGAGUACAGGACUCAGGUUGUUUGAUCAGGUGUUGUUCCUGCAGCAUAUCUUGCCAUGUAUAAGCCCUCUAUUUCACCCCACACACGCAUACAGACACACAAUGAAGAAAGUGGGAGUCACACUGUCAUUCUGCCACCUUCUCUAGCUCAUCUACUCUUCUUGCAAAUGAACUUCAGAUGUUAAACAGUGUUUUUACUUACAUCUUUCAAAAUGGGGAAAUGCCAUUCCUAAUACAACUACUGCCUCUUUAAAUGUUUUGUGUCACGGUGAUUUGUUGCAGAUGGGUAACAUGUAGCCAGAUGGGGGUCUGUUCUUUACCUCAAAACUAGGAUUCUUCAGGGACCCAAUAUGAUGGAGUGUGCUUUGCAUAAUGGGCUUAUUUGAUGAGCACAGUUGUUUUUUGACUAAAACCAAUCUAUAAGCUUAGGCCAUACAUCAUGUUGCUAAAUAAAUAAAUACUAAAUAAAUCAAGCC